UUCAAAAAACAAUCCGCAUCAUUGUAUUUCACAGUUAAGCAAGAAAAUUACGAGGCCAGCUGGCUUGUUCACCAUGAAUUUGCAUGGUUACGUCAUUCAUUUUCAUACGAUAAGCACAGGAAGGUUAGCUUUUUGUGUGGUUAUGGUUAGCAGCACUGUGAAAUUGAAACUUGCGUAGUAAGCAGGGAAAACAGCUGCUUAAAAGCAGCUCUAUGAAAUUAGGCCCUGGUAUAGUUCCUCCAAAGCGUACAAACUGUCCCUAUCUUAGAUCUUAUAAGCGUGUGAGAUUCCGUUGUCUGUGUUUCUAUUGACCUUUUACAAAACAAAGUGACUUUUGCUCUCAAGGGCCCAAUUUUCUGCUAUUAUUAAAUUAAAUUAUUAAGUAAAAUUUUCUGCUUAAGUGGCUCUAUGAAAUUGGACCUGGAGCAUGUCUUGGCAGGUAAAUAGUUACAUUAUUGAUUGGAGAGAUUUUAUGUUUUUGUAACUUAAUAAUAUGAUCAUAAAGAAUUGUGAAAACAUAAUAGCUGAACAAGAUUCGAGGUGUGUUUCCCUUUUUCUUCCUGUAGGAUUUAUAACAAGUCGUACACUGCAAUCUUCAUAAAAUGUGUGUUUGAUGUUUUCUGCCUUUGAGCUGUGUACACCUUGUGCCUACAGAAAAGCCAGUCCGACUGUUUGUUUUUUUGUAAACAUGCAGUGCCAUGAGUAAUUAGGUCUAAUACCACAUCUAUUGGUUUGGCUUUUACUUGCUUACAAAACUCCCUAAUAAAAUAAUUAAACUGUAUUUUAUUACCUUCUAGCGGGGCAUCAUGGUUGGCUUGUGCGUAAAGUGCACUCCUCUCACCAAGGUGACCCUGGUUCGAUUCCCGGUCGGGGCCAUAAUGUGAGUUGAGUUGUUCGUUGGUUCUCUACUGUGCCAGGAGGGUUUUUCCAAGACCAUCUGGUUUUCCUACCUCGCGAAAAAUCAAACACUUUCAAUAUUGAAGGAAAAAGGCCCAUCUAAAAGUCUCCCAAUGGCAGACAAUCCCCAUUUGUUCUUGUCUCUGCUCUGGAGACAUGUUUUACAGAACGAGUAAUUUUUAUUGGAUACAAUGACAAAUGUACAGUGACGUAAGCUUUCCAUAUCUGUGUUUCAAUUGGUCAGAGGUGAUGUUUGGCAGCUGCACUUUCAAUAAGUUUUAUGUAGACCUUUCUUUAGACAGGUCACAGCCCAAGUUUUUGCCAACUGAGUUUGGAAAACUAUGGAAAGCCAUAAAUGCAAAGCAAAAACAGAUUGUAUUAAUGUCAAAAAUAGUGUUAAAUUUGUUAUACAAAGCAAUCAAUCAUGGGAGAUCAUUUAUUUAAUUGAAAGUUUGCAAAAAAUGUGGAAUUUGGUCAGAAUAUCUGUAACAAGAUUGAAUGUUUUGCGCCUGUCCAUGCCAACCAGUGCGGUUUGUUUAUCAACAAUAGGGUCUAUUGCCGCCAAGCGAGCCCCAUUUUGUUUUUUUUGUAAUGUAGAUUCUUUUUGUCGUUGAGACAUUGGUACCCAUCGCUUUCCUUUCUAGUACCCGCUUGAGCAUCAAUAGACCAAUCCGACGAAACAAAAUUGGUAGCGCCCUCUAUUGAAAAAUUAACAAGUGCGGUGUCUUUUUGUGCAUAAACUAGGCACUGAAAACACCGUAGCAAAUGGUGCGCGGUGCUCAAAACUUGUGCGCCUGCGCCACAUGACAUGGUUGUUAAGCUUGUGUUAACCACUGAUGGGCAACACCUUUUCUUCUACAUGAAACUUUAGAGGAACUCCAAAAUAUAUUCUGCGACAAAUUUCAAGUAGGAACAAGAAAAAAAUUAUUUCUAUUUGCAAUAAGUUCAGAGUCGGGCUUUCUUGGUCUAAAAGCUGGUUCACUGUUGUUUGCUCUAUGGUCAGACAAAAAACUUGACCCAAAUUCACUUAAAUGUUGCGGCUUUUACACAUAACUAGACUGGUCCCCUGUCUAAGACAGGCAUUUUUACAGAACCAGCAAUUUCAUUGGAUACAUUGUUCCACUAGACAAACUUGCAGUGAUGUAGUAAGCUUUCCAUAUCAGGGUUUUAUUUUACCCUUUUACAUUUUACAUCUUUUCUGUGCGUGUACCUUCAUACUGUAUCUUAAGAAAAUUGUUGUCACAAGAUCUGUGAUCAUUGCAAAAUGAUUGUAAAAGUCCAAUUGUUAAUAAAAUAUUAAUAAUUCUCUCAAGACAUCAAAAGACACAGAAAAAAACAACAAACAUGGUUUUAUAGAGUAUGUAGUUACUGUAUUUUACACAGAUGAAAGGUAUACAGAAUAAAAACAUCAUCAUGCUGUAUUCAAACUUGGCUACAUUUUAUUGUAAUUAAUUAACCAAAGAGAAACAAUAUUUUAAAAUACACCACCCACUUGUACCGAAUGUCACCUACUGCUACAAUGUACCAUGCUUGCCAUUGUGGGAGUCGAUUUGAACAUGCAGCGUUGCCUUU